CCUACGGGGGGCAGCAGUGGGGAAUAUUGCACAAUGGGCGCAAGCCUGAUGCAGCCAUGCCGCGUGUGUGAAGAAGGCCUUCGGGUUGUAAAGCACUUUCAGCGGGGAGGAAGGCGUUAAGGUUAAUAACCUUGUCGAUUGACGUUACCCGCAGAAGAAGCACCGGCUAACUCCGCGCCAACAGCCGCGGUAAUAUGGAGGGUGCAAGCGUUAAUCGGAAUUACUGGGCGUAAAGCGCACGCAGGCGGUCUGUCAAGUCGGAUGUGAAAUCCCCGGGCUCAACCUGGGAACUGCAUUCGAAACUGGCAGGCUAGAGUCUUGUAGAGGGGGGUAGAAUUCCAGGUGUAGCGGUGAAAUGCGUAGAGAUCUGGAGGAAUACCGGUGGCGAAGGCGGCCCCCUGGACAAAGACUGACGCUCAGGUGCGAAAGCGUGGGGAGCAAACAGGAUUAGAUACCCGAGUAGUC
rnacentral:rRNA from 1 species